CGUUUGGUAGGGGGCGUGUUACAUGCACUUCUAAACGAAACGUGUUUGAGGGCUUUGCGAGCAUUUAACUGGUAAAACGUCUGGAGGGAAUUAUUUAGGAAUUUAUAUUUAUAUUUGCAUCUUAUUUUGUAUCGAGAGGAAUUCCUGCAUGGGUCGUUGCGAGUGGCGGGCAAUCGAAAAACGCACGCGGUUUGACCCAGACUUCAAAUGGGAAUGUUAGGGCGACAUUUCCUGCUGGAAUUAACUGAGUUCGCUAGAAGCAUUUUCAACAUGCCAUGACAAUUAAACAUUCGGAAUGCCCUCAGACCCGUUUGAUUUCGAAGUGCUCUAGAAACGUUUGGAAGCAAAUGGAACGGCAUUCACGUACAGAGGCUCGCGAGCGCCUAUGGGCUCGCAAUUUCUAGGCAAGCUGUCAAUUAGUGGGUUUUUUCGUAAGUUGCCUAGCGGUGGAGUUUGUUCGUAGAGUAUCGAUAUGUAUAAAUAAUUCUGAUCAAGCGUUUACGGUAUGAUUUAGCUUAGAAGGACUUUUCUAGUAUCUACAUUGAAAUACAUUUAGCUUAUAUGCGAGUGCGAUAGUGCCGUCCCGGUAAGAUCUACAAAUCGUUCAAAGCGAAGCCUCAGUAGGGUCGAUUUCGACAAUUUGGUAAAUUUGAACACAUUUUCCAACAUUUUUUAUAUGGCAGUAAGUCGGUAAAUAUUUGCGCAGUACUUCCGUGUUAGUCAUCGUUGGACGCUUCAAACUCUUAGAAGAAUCCCUAUCGCCAAAACGAAAAUUUCCUGAUUUCCUUUGGAUAAGAUUGCUUGUGAUAAAUUGGAAGUAACUUAGUCCUGACUGCUAGUCUAAAAUUCCAUCUUUUAUGUUGAACGCUGGUUUCACAAAAAAAAAAAAAAUUGUUUGAUACAAUUGAUGAAUAUGAAAAUCAGAAAAUUACUCAACAAACAAUGUCAAGAGCAGGGAAUUGCCAAUGCAGUGGACGGCUAAGUUCCAAAGCGUUAAUAUCAGACGAUCCGCUUCUGCAUUCUGCCGAACGAGAUGAUAGUAUAGAGAAUCUUAGAAAUCCUCAACCAAUCUUUUUUGAGGAAUCAUAUAGUAUUCAAGAUAGAUUAUAUGAUGUUAACAUAUUUAACGGAUGUAUACACAAGGACUACUUGCAUCGAAGCUUGCGGAAUUCUUUUGGUAGGCCACGAUAUUCAGAGAGCGAAAAGGAUACUUAUUAUGCAGUUAAAGAAAGUGAUGAACCGAUUAGACAACAGAUCCGAACUCGAAGCGAAUCUGAACCUAGUGAUAUUCGGAAUAUGAAUAAAUGGCGUAUACGCAGCCAAUUUAAACUUCCUCUAAAUGAUCGACUGUGUGAAAGAGAGAACAUAUUGGAUAAAAUGAUAGAUCCAUCACAAACAGAGGAAACAAGACUUUCUUCUGUGCAAUUACGUAAAGAUGGUACAUUGCCACGACUCUUCAUUUAUAAUAAUAAACCAAGAGUGAAGUCCCCACUGCACUUAAAGAAAGUAAUGCGAUAUCAAACGUCACCAGUUCUCGGAUCUCCUCGACUAAACCGUGUGCGGGGAAAUAAACCCAAACCAUGUGCAGCAAAAACAACUACAACGUCUUUAAAAUUAGUAAAACCAAUUCGGAAAUCAAAAUUUGCAAUUUCUUCGAAGAGAAUUCCAAUAGAAUCGAAAGCAGCAGAAAUAUAUCCCAGUUUUGGAGGGAAAGAACAUGAUACUGUGGAAAACGCAGAUUUCCAGCAAGAAGAUAUUACUUGUAACGAUGGCUAUCAUUUCUCAUCUGAUUUAGAAAUGUGUUAUAAGGACGAUGUGUAUUUGCAACCAUCAUCAGUUCAAGAAAGCGUCGUGUCACCAAGAGGCAAAACAACAAUACAUUUCGUCACAAGUCUUUUCCCAAAUGUUCCACCAUUUUUAUCAUUCUCUACGCAUACUGACAAACGGCCACCAAUGUCACCAUAUUUGUAUAAAGUAUUAAAAUGGAAACUAACAAAUGUAAUGCCGAAGUUGAUUCGUCGUGUCUUAAUUAGUUCUGGAUUCAGGCUCUUGAAAAAGACCAAUGACUGGAUGGGAAUUUGGAGUAAACAUAUGAAAAGCACCAGCUUUAAAACUGUUCGCUCUUAUCAAAAAUUUAACCAUAUACCAGGUUCGUUCAAGAUUGGACGCAAGGAUUCCUGCUGGCGAAACCUCCAAGCGCAGAUGAUUAAACAUGGAAACAAGGAAUUCGGCUUCAUGCCUAAGACCUAUAUAAUCCCACAAGAUUUGAAUCUAUUGAAAAGGUCUUGGCCAAAAUAUUCGCAACGCAACUUUAAAUGGAUAAUUAAACCACCAGCUAGUGCUCGAGGUACUGGAAUUAAAGUAAUAAACCGUUGGGCCCAAAUUCCCAAACGAAAAUCAGUCAUUGUGCAACGGUACAUAGAGAAACCGUUUUUGAUAAACGGUAGUAAAUUUGACCUGAGAUUAUAUGUUUUAGUCACAUCAAUUAAUCCAUUAAGGGUGUACUUAUACCAAGACGGACUAGUGCGCUUUGCAUCAGUGAAAUAUAGCGAAAGGGCAGAUUCCUUAAAUGAUCGUUAUAUGCACUUAACUAACUACAGUAUUAAUAAAUUAUCAUCAACAUACUCUCAAAAUGAAGAUGUGAAUGCAUGCGAAGGACACAAAUGGACAAUUCAAUCUUUAUGGUCUUAUCUAAAAAGUCGAAGAAUUGACACGAUCAAAUUAUGGGAUGUUUUGCGAAAUCUUAUUUUACGUACUCUUCUCGCUGGUGAAAAUUCCAUUAAUGCUAUGUUUAAGCUAAAUGUGGAAAGUAAAUAUAAUUGCUUUGAACUGUUUGGGUUUGAUGUCAUUUUAGACUCUGAGUUAGUCCCGUGGUUAUUAGAAGUCAAUAUAUCACCGUCACUACAUUCAGAAUUGCCUUUGGAUUUACACGUGAAAGGACCACUAAUACAAGCUGUGCUUAACACCGCAUUAUAUAAUGUACCUCCUAAACUUUCGCUCGAACAUCAAAAAUUAGUAUUAGCGGAGGAAGGAUUGUCUGGGCGUUUGUGUUAUGACAAGAGAAUUUAUAUAACAUAUUUGUCGAGGGAAGAAAAACUCAAACAUAAUCAAUUCACCAGGGUGGUUUCGGAUAAUCGUAAAGAUUACUUAAACGCUAUUCUGGAAAAUCUUACACCAGAUGACGUGCGAUGUUUAAUUGUGGCUGAAGAUGAAUUGCAACGUAGUGCACCAUUAGAAAGAAUAUUUCCGGGACAACAAACACAUACAUAUCUAAAAUAUACCGAACUACCACGCUAUUAUAAUCGGUUGCUAGAUGCAUGGGAGCAUAAGUAUCACCAUAAUAGAUAUGAAGGAAUUCUGCUUUUACAGGAACUAUGUAGGCAAAAAGUGCAUCUAGAAAUACCGGCCGCAACCUAGAAGAAAGGUCAUUUUACGUUAUACUUUGUCAUUAGAACAAAUCUAACCCAUUGCUGGCUGAAUACUCAACACGAAACAUAAGUGUUCCCUAACUAUAAUUCCUAUAUGCAGCAACUAGUUUCAUGCUUGGUAUAUAUGUAUGUUAUCCGUGCUUUGCAUGGGUUAUCUUGCAGAUUUGCUUUAAUACCAUUAGUAUGUAUGUACUAUUAGUAUGUAUAGGGUUUGCAAAGAUACCAGCCCUUAACUCGCAUCUCAUUUAGCGAUGAAUUAAACCAAACUGUCUAAUGUGGCUAUCAAAUAAAUAAGUUUUUAAAUAAGGCAAAAUAAUCGUAAUUUUUUUUUUUUUUGCAUUUGCUGGUACUAAUACCCAAUCAUUUGCUUAAGUCUGUGUUUCAUUACCGAGUGAACGCUAGUAAUGGGUUAUAUAUAUAGCUUUUUUAUAGGAAUCUAAAGAGUGUUUUUUAGUGUAUAUGGUGUCCCACGGUUUUGAAAUGUUAUAGCUGCGAUUUUCAUCUGGUGACAGUAGUUUUUGAUACAGGACUCAAAUGCUAAUGAUGGCGCCCAGGAAGGCAACGUCUCCAUUCGGAACAGUUACAAGAUCAAUAAAAUACGGAAGCAGACGAAGGAAUGUUGUCGUUUGUGUAAUAGCGGCGUUAAUUUAGGAGUGUAAGGCAAAUACUAAUCGAACUGAAAAAUAUAAAAAAUAAUUGAACACUUAAUCACAAUUUAUCCUCAACUCAAUUUGCUAACGGAUACAAAGAAUUGACUGUUCGACGAUACAAUGGUAACGUUUUGUAGCUGACGAUGUAUCGCAAGUUGGAAAACCUGAAAACCUUGAAAUUCAUAUUCUUUCGCCAAUAUACUUUGUAACCAAUAUUUACAUAUGUAAACAUUCAAAAUAAAUAUAUGACUUAUAGUUUUGGACCCAC